rnacentral:lncRNA from 1 species
CAAGCCUUAGGCAUUAUCCACUGGGGCUGGGUACCCCACAGAGUGAAAAAUAAAAGCAAGAAACAAUCCUGGAGGAAGACAAGCUGUGCUCCGUAUCUAAAAAGAACUGUGGAUAACAGCCCAAGAUGGUAUUUUGAAGUGAGUAGACACCUGGAGAAUACAGUCUUCCUGCUACCGGGGUGAUGGAUAAACAUCUUCAAUCAAGACAUCCUGAGGAUCCUACGGGUUUAGAUGAAGGAGACUCUCUGGUUGUGUUUGUUUGGAAGGCGACCUCGGUAAGCAUGGAGCUAGAUGUCAACUGACGAGACGCUUCUGAGAGGGACUCAAAACUGCCGACCUUGGGAAUUUGCUUGAGAAGAGAGAAAUUCUUGGCCACAGAGAGAGUGCUGAGAAGACAGGGGAGUGAAAAGAAUGUGUCAACAGAGUGAGCCAAGCCUGGGGGACAUGGCAGAGCACCACAAGAAACCAUUGCUCGGCAAAGGACUCCUCAGAUGAGAGCGUACAAAAUAUGAUCAUCCCUCAUCACCAGGGGUAGCCCUAGGAUCCUUGCCCAGGGUACCACAAUCUUAGAGUGCUCAAGUCCCUUAUAUAAACAGCAAAAUGAAUUAGGGCUGCAUCUCAGCUGGACUGAAUGUGCUAAGCAUUCAAGGGACCCUGUGUUUAAUCACCAGCACUAAAG